rnacentral:misc_RNA from 1 species
GAAGUGCGACAAGUGUCAUGACUUGCAGAUUCCCGAGAGCUGACAAAUUUCUGAAUGCAAAUGGCGGCUGUCCAACAGCCAUGUAUUGCAGAGUGUAGUUGUUCAUACUCAUCAUCCUCUCUCACAUUGAUAUAUGUGCGAGCAAGGGAUCUGCGCUUGCGAACACCGCGAGCGUGAAAAUCGGGAGUACAACUCGAUCGAGAGCAAUCUUGAACGAGUUGGCAACUUCGGAUGACUACAUGUCUAUUAGAAGUUGAUGCGCCCGCGUAUGGAGUGUGUGUAACAGCGCGCUCCAGGCAUAUUUCGGCAGCCACCUCUGCAAUGCAGGAGAACCCGCUGAACUUAA